GGUCCAUUCGUCUAGUGGUUAGGACGCCAGGUUUUCAUCCUGGUAACAGGGGUUCGAUUCCCCUAUGGACUA
rnacentral:tRNA from 1 species